GAUGAACGCUGGCGGCGUGCUUAACACAUGCAAGUCGAACGGUGAACGAGGGAGCUUGCUCCCUCCGGAUCAGUGGCGAACGGGUGAGUAACACGUGAGCAAUCUGCCCUGGACUCUGGGAUAAGCGUUGGAAACGACGUCUAAUACCGGAUACGAGGCGUGGGGGCAUCCCCAACGCCUGGAAAGAACUUCGGUCCAGGAUGAGCUCGCGGCCUAUCAGGUAGUUGGUGAGGUAAUGGCUCACCAAGCCUACGACGGGUAGCCGGCCUGAGAGGGUGACCGGCCACACUGGGACUGAGACACGGCCCAGACUCCUACGGGAGGCAGCAGUGGGGAAUAUUGCACAAUGGGCGCAAGCCUGAUGCAGCAACGCCGCGUGAGGGACGACGGCCUUCGGGUUGUAAACCUGUUUUAGCAGGGAAGAAGCGAAAGUGACGGUACCUGCAGAAAAAGCACCGGCUAACUACGUGCCAGCCGCCGCAGUAAUAC
rnacentral:rRNA from 1 species